CCUACGGGAGGCAGCAGUGGGAAUUUUGGACAAUGGGCGAAAGCCUGAUCCAGCCAUGCCGCGUGCAGGAUGAAGGCCUUCGGGUUGUAAACUGCUUUUGUACGGAACGAAAAGCCUCUUUCUAAUAAAGAGAGGUCAUGACGGUACCGUAAGAAUAAGCACCGGCUAACUACGUGCCAGCAGCCGCGGUAAUACGUAGGGUGCAAGCGUUAAUCGGAAUUACUGGGCGUAAAGCGUGCGCAGGCGGUUUUGUAAGACAGAGGUGAAAUCCCCGGGCUCAACCUGGGAACUGCCUUUGUGACUGCAAGGCUGGAGUGCGGCAGAGGGGGAUGGAAUUCCGCGUGUAGCAGUGAAAUGCGUAGAUAUGCGGAGGAACACCGAUGGCGAAGGCAAUCCCCUGGGCCUGCACUGACGCUCAUGCACGAAAGCGUGGGGAGCAAACAGGAUUAGAUACCCCGGUAGUCC
rnacentral:rRNA from 1 species